CCUACGGGAGGCUGCAGUGAGGAAUAUUGGUCAAUGGACGAGAGUCUGAACCAGCCAAGUAGCGUGAAGGAUGACUGCCCUAUGGGUUGUAAACUUCUUUUAUAAAGGAAUAAAACGAGGCACGUGUGCCUUUUUGCAUGUACUUUAUGAAUAAGGAUCGGCUAACUCCGUGCCAGCAGCCGCGGUAAUACGGAGGUGCCGAGCGUUAUCCGGAUUUAUUGGGUUUAAAGGGAGCGUAGAGGGGUUGGUAAGUCAGGUGUGAAAGUUUGCGGCUCAACCGGAACAUUGAAAUUGAUACUGGCAGUCUUGAGUACAGUUGCGGUCGGCGGACUUCGUGGUGUAGCGGUGAAAUGCUUUGAUAUCACGAAGAACCCCGAUUGCGAAGGCAGCUUACUAAACUGUGCCUGCCAUUGCUGCUCGCAUGUGUGGGUAUCACACAGGAUUAGAUACCCUUGUAGUC
rnacentral:rRNA from 1 species